rnacentral:rRNA from 1 species
AACGAGACCUUAACCUGCUAAAUAGCCAGGCCGGCUCUCGCUGGUCGCCGGCUUCUUAGAGGGACUGGCAGCGAGGAGCUGACGGAAGUGGGAGGCAAUAAAAAGGAGGGGAGGACAAAAAGUGUUCUGGGCCGCACGCGCGCUACACUGACAGAGACAGCGAGUUUUUUUUCCUUGGCCGGAAGGUCUGGGUAAACUUGUGAAACUCU